rnacentral:other from 1 species
GGUACCCCAAGACGAUGCGUUCUGACAUUUUGAACCUACAUUGAUUGAAACGGGAUUCCAAUAUUUUUUGGCGGAUGACAUGCCUCCUUGAGUGGACUUCAGAACCCAAAGUGCGGUGAACCCACCUGGCGUGAGCUAGGAAUCAAAAUUCAGAACAGCGUUUUGGGAUCUUU